AGUGGGUAUGGACUACACUGCCUACUUCCAUUAGCCUGGUACCAAUGAUCAUAUUUUACAUAAUUAUAACUUGGAAUAAAAGUUAAUAAAAUAAAAUUUUUUACCUCUCAUAAUAACAAUGAUGAUGAUGAUAAUGGUAACUUGUGCUGACAAUAAUGUGCAGCAAAGGCAGGGAGUGUGUGAAGGAUGUUUGGGGAAAAGCAAGCUCAGCAGUAACAUUUUUAGGUUUCCAAGACUGAUGACACAGCUGGCCCACUGGAGACCCGGGCAGUGGGAGGAUCCUCAUUAGUGUAAAUAAAUAGGAGGCUCUGGUCCUGAAAACAGCCCAGAUGAGAUUCAAAUCCAGAUUCAGAUUGUUGAAUCAAGCCUGGCUCAUCCUCCUCUCCCUUAUCAAGGCAGAAUGAAAUCCACUGCUGCCUCCGUGGUUGUGGCUCUGCUCAUGGUUAUCAAUUACUCUUCAGUCCAAGGUAUACUGGAGACCAACGAUGCCAGCCAGAAGUGCAGGUGCCUCAAGCUGUCAGAAGGCGUCCCUGUACGCUUGAUUAAAACCAUAUUUAUUUCACCACCUAACGGAGGCUGCCGAAAUACAGAAUGCGUAGUCACAUUGAAAUCUGGGAAGAAAGUAUGUGUGGAUCCAAAGUGCAAAUGGUUAGACAAUAUCAUCAAAAAUGUAAUAAGAGUCUUUUUGAAGGAUAAGGAAAAAGUAUGUGUGGAUCCAAAGAGCAAAUGGCUACAGAAUGCCAUAAAUAAUUUGCUAAGAUUGCCAAGUGCCCCAACAAGAAAUCCUGCUAGACGCUUGCUCAACUAUAUGUAAGAUCGUCUGAGCUCAUCUUCCUUCGCAUUAAGAAUUCUCACUUCUUUUACUAAUUUUUUUUAAAAAAUUCCAAUGAAAGGCUCUUUCUAGCCACUUCUUCCUAGAAACAAAUUGCCAAAAUGACCUUUCUGAAGCAAUUCAGCAACACAUUAGCUUCUCUCUAGGAAGCAAUCCAGUGCUUGAUUUACAUAUACUUAGUCAACAUUAGUAAAUAAGUUUCCUAGAAAUAUUUAAAGGUUCUUUCAUAUCAAUCUUAACCAGUAGUAGAAGUGAGGCUGACCAUGCAAGAACCCUAGUUGUCACACAAAGACUUUCCUCUAAAUGGAAGAAUAGCUUAGAUAUCAAAUUGGAGCAACCAGCAUGAGUUAGGAAGGGAAGCAAGGAAUCGUUUCUUCACCUGUGGGUUUCUGAAAUUACAAAGCUGCCCACAGAAUUCACAUAAUUUUAAUUGGAUUGUCCAGACAAAGUCAUGGGCAAUUGAACCUCUUGAGCACAUAUGAGGUUAAAAAGAUUGGGACUUGUUGACCCUAAAAUUCCCUCCACCUUAGUAAACUGUAACAAAGGAAAGCCAAACGAUGGUGUCUGUCAUGCUGCUGACAUUGAUAUUAUGCCAGAGGUUGUGUGGGUAAAACACAAUGACUCUGCGAACAAUAGAUUUGCAAUGAAAUCCCACCUAUGAUGGUUACCCCCUGUGUAACCCUAAAUAAGUCACUGAGCCUUUGUGGCAUUAAAUCCCUCAUCUCUAAAAUGCAAGGAAUUGGAUGAGAUAGCCCCCAAAGUCUUUUCCAAGCCUCCACCUAGCAUCCUUCAAAGAGACACCCCAGAAUUAAACCCAGAGCCAUCGGAAUUAUUUAUAGCUAAGCUUGUCUUACAAAUCUCUUGCCUUCUAUGAUGUGCUACAUACCAAGGAGUAGACAAUUUGGAACAUAAAUGUAUUUCUUCUAAAGUGUACCACUCAUGUGCUGUUCUUCAAUAAACACAAACAGAUG
rnacentral:lncRNA from 1 species